rnacentral:rRNA from 1 species
UGAACGCUGGCGGCAUGCCUUACACAUGCAAGUCGAACGGCAGCACGGGAGCAAUCCUGGUGGCGAGUGGCGAACGGGUGAGUAAAGUAUCGGAACGUACCUUUCAGUGGGGGAUAACGUAGCGAAAGUUACGCUAAUACCGCAUAUUCUGUGAGCAGGAAAGCAGGGGAUCGCAAGACCUUGCGCUGAUUGAGCGGCCGAUAUCAGAUUAGCUAGUUGGUGAGGUAAAGGCUCACCAAGGCGACGAUCUGUAGCGGGUCUGAGAGGAUGAUCCGCCACACUGGAACUGAGACACGGUCCAGACUCCUACGGGAGGCAGCAGUGGGGAAUUUUGGACAAUGGGGGCAACCCUGAUCCAGCCAUGCCGCGUGAGUGAAGAAGGCCUCGGUGUA